AUGGCUUUCCCAAGGAAAGAAGCAUUUUUACCUAGCCCUAUAUGCAGUGGAGAGUGGUUGAGAAUCCAAUCCUUCCAAGGGAAGAGAGGAGCAUGCAAAAAUUUGAAUGCAAAUUUCAACAUAAGGCAAAAGUUUUGUGCUCUCAGGUUUUUGAUUCCAAGACCUCCAACAAGUUUGGGAAUACAAACGCGGUCAUACUCUACAAGGCACUUGGCCCCAGAGAAAGAAUCAUCAUUAGACCAGAAAAAAAAUCAUAUGACGCUUAUCGAUGUCCUUGAGAACGCUACAGGUAAGGAAAAGCACAUCAUGAAAUAA
rnacentral:rRNA from 1 species